UACGAAGGGGGCUAGCGUUGCUCGGAAUCACUGGGCGUAAAGCGAACGCAGGCGGACCGUUAAGUCGAAUGUGAAAGCCCGGGGCUCAACCCCGGAAGUGCAUUCGAAACUGGCGGUCUUGAGUACGGGAGAGGUGGGUGGAAUUCCUGGUGUAGAGGUGAAAUUCGUAGAUAUCAAGGAGGAACACCGGUGGCGAAAGCGGCCCACUGGCCCGAUACUGACGCUCAUGUUCGAAAGCGUGGGGAGCAAACAGG
rnacentral:rRNA from 1 species